ensembl:lncRNA
AAGCAUAUCGCGCCAUAGCACAGUGGUUAAGAGAUGAUGCUUUGGAUUCCAAGCCCUUUUACUUUAAUUUUUCAAUCUUGGGAAAAAUUCCUAGCCUCUCGGAGGCUUGGUGCUGUAAAACAGGGAUAGUAAUACCUGCUCCCCACUCUCUGCUCCCAGGCAGAGCAUCUGUGAAGAUUUGGAGAGCUGGUGCCUGUGCAGCCCUGGGCAUUGUGGAUGGCACGAGGUCAGUGUUCAGUAAAGAGUAGUUAUUUUAUUAUUUCCAUGUGUAUAUAUGCAUGAGAUCUCUGGGCACAUGAGAAUUUUUCAAAGUCCAACUUAGCUGCAAAAUAAAUCAGCCCCAUUUCAGAAAACCAAAAGCAUGCAGGCAUGGAGAUGAACAGAUUCCUUUCCUGUUUACCCUUUGCCACCUCCUUCUAUAACUGUAAGGUCUUUGUCCAAAUUUCCAGGGACCAAACCUGUUCUUGAACCCUGUCUAGAAAUGGGAGCAUUGUCCACACGUGGAAAAGCUUUCAGCGGAAACAGACACGAGGUGGUUGAUCCUUUCUUCUUGAUCCAGUCUGGGCAUUCACCUUGUAGUUGGCUGGGCUCAGUCUCUUGCUCUGGAUGGUCGUAACUGACCCAGUCUCGGGAGCUACCAAAACGAGAGAGACUGGGAAGCUUGGUGUUCAGUCAUCACUGGGAGCCUACUAGGAGAACAAGCUGGAGACAGGAAGAAGAAGAGCGGGAGAGAGAGGGAGAGAGACGGAUGGAAGGCAGUGCUGCUGUCCCAGGGAGUCCUAGGGUAAUU